GAAUUUAAUUGUGUGAUCCAAUUUAAUUUGAGAAAUUUUAUCUUACUUUUUAUAAUUUUUUGUUUU
rnacentral:tRNA from 1 species